CAGUCUGCAUGGAGCCGACCUUGAAAUACCACCCUUUAAUGUUUGAUGUUCUAACGUUGACCCGUAAUCCGGGUUGCGGACAGUGUCUGGUGGGUAGUUUGACUGGGGCGGUCUCCUCCUAAAGAGUAACGGAGGAGCACGAAGGUUGGCUAAUCCUGGUCGGACAUCAGGAGGUUAGUGCAAUGGCAUAAGCCAGCUUGACUGCGAGCGUGACGGCGCGAGCAGGUGCGAAAGCAGGUCAUAGUGAUCCGGUGGUUCUGAAUGGAAGGGCCAUCGCUCAACGGAUAAAAGGUACUCCGGGGAUAACAGGCUGAUACCGCCCAAGAGUUCAUAUCGACGGCGGUGUUUGGCACCUCGAUGUCGGCUCAUCACAUCCUGGGGCUGAAGUAGGUCCCAAGGGUAUGGCUGUUCGCCAUUUAAAGUGGUACGCGAGCUGGGUUUAGAACGUCGUGAGACAGUUCGGUCCCUAUCUGCCGUGGGCGCUGGAGAACUGAGGGGGGCUGCUCCUAGUACGAGAGGACCGGAGUGGACGCAUCACUGGUGUUCGGGUUGUCAUGCCAAUGGCACUGCCCGGUAGCUAAAUGCGGAAGAGAUAAGUGCUGAAAGCAUCUAAGCACGAAACUUGCCCCGAGAUGAGUUCUCCCUGACUCCUUGAGAGUCCUGAAGGAACGUUGAAGACGACGACGUUGAUAGGCCGGGUGUGUAAGCGCAGCGAUGCGUUGAGCUAACCGGUACUAAUGAACCGUGAGGCUUAACCUUACAACGCCGAAG
rnacentral:rRNA from 1 species